rnacentral:rRNA from 1 species
UACGAAGGGGGCUAGCGUUGCUCGGAAUCACUGGGCGUAAAGCGCACGUAGGCGGAUUGUUAAGUCAGGGGUGAAAUCCUGGAGCUCAACUCCAGAACUGCCUUUGAUACUGGCGAUCUCGAGUCCGGGAGAGGGAUGCGGAAUUCCAGGUGUAGCGGUGAAAUGCGUAGAUAUCUGGAGGAACACCGGUGGCGAAGGCGGCAUCCUGGACCGGCAUUGGACGCUGAGGAGCGAAAGCCAGGGGAGCAAAGCGGGGAU